GUGCUCACUUCAGCAGCAUAUAUACUAAAAUUGAAACAAUACAGAAAAGAUUAGCAUGGCCCCUGCACAAAGAUGAUAUGCAAAUUCAUAAAUCGCUCCAUAGUUUU
ensembl:snRNA U6 U6 spliceosomal RNA